AUUGAACGCUGGCGGAAUGCUUUACACAUGCAAGUCGAACGAUGAAGCCUAGCUUGCUAGGUCGAUUAGUGGCGAACGGGUGAGUAAUAUAUCGGAACGUAUCCAAUAAUGGGGGAUAACUAGUCGAAAGAUUGGCUAAUACCGCAUACGUCCUACGGGAGAAAGCUGGGGAUCGUAAGACCUGGCGUUAAUGGAGCGGCCGAUAUCUGAUUAGCUAGUUGGUGAGGUAAAGGCUCACCAAGGCGACGAUCAGUAGCUGGUCUGAGAGGACGACCAGCCACACUGGAACGGAGACACGGUCCAGACUCCUACGGGAGGCAGCAGUGGGGAAUUUUGGACAAUGGGCGAAAGCCUGAUCCAGCCAUUCCGCGUGAGUGAAGAAGGCCUUCGGGUUGUAAAGCUCUUUCGCAAGGGAAGAACACUUACUUAAUAACACUAAGUGAGGUUGACGGUACCUUGAUAAGAAGCACCGGCUAACUACGUGCCAGCCGCCGCGGUAAUAC
rnacentral:rRNA from 1 species